UACAGAGGUCCCAAGCGUUGUUCGGAUUUACUGGGCGUAAAGGGUGCGUAGGUGGCGGGGUAAGUCUGGUGUGAAAUCUCCGAGCUCAACUCGGAAAAGCAUUGGAAACUAUCCCGCUAGAGGGUCGGAGGGGAGACUGGAAUUCUCGGUGUAGCAGUGAAAUGCGUAGAUAUCGAGAGGAACACCAGUGGCGAAGGCGAGUCUCUGGACGACUCCUGACACUGAGGCACGAAAGCUAGGGGAGCAAACA
rnacentral:rRNA from 1 species